AAUGUUGAUCCUAAUUCAGGGCUUUUUUUUGUUUUGUUUUGAUAAUUAAACUCUGAGACAAUAACACAGAGGCUGGGAAAGAUGAUUGGGUAGAAGAUAUUUCUCUAUUCAUUUUUCUUCCCAGCCUACAAAA